AGCUUCAUGGUGCUUACCCCAGGCUGUAUUCUUACACUGACUGUACAGAAAGAGGAGGCAGAGUAAAUCCACCCAAAUAUACCCCUAGGCCCUUUGCCUGAUCUGUACUGUGAAUGGGAGAACAUGG
ensembl:snoRNA